rnacentral:rRNA from 1 species
UACAGGGGGGGCAAGCGUUGUUCGGAAUUACUGGGCGUAAAGGGUCUGUAGGUGGCUUGCUAAGUCAGACGUGAAAUCCCUCAGCUUAACUGGGGAACUGCGUCUGAUACUGGCGAGCUUGAGUGCAGGAGAGGAACGCGGAAUUCCAGGUGUAGCGGUGAAAUGCGUAGAGAUGUGGAGGAACACCGAUGGCGAAGGCAGCCUUCUGGGCCAACACUGACGCUCAUGCACGAAAGCGUGGGGAGCAAACAGG